AAAAUUUAAAAUAAAAAUACUAAAAUAGUAAAUAAAUAUUUAUUGAAACUUAAAUGAUUUGGCGGUAUUUUAGUUCAUUUAGAGGAAUCUGUUUAUUAAUUGAUAAUCCACGAAUAAAUUUACUUAAUUUAUAAUUUUAUAUAUCGUUGUUAAAAAAAUAUUUUUUAAUAAAAUUAAUAUUUAAAAAUUAAUAAAAUAAAUUAAAUCAGAUCAAGAUGUAGAUUAUAAUUAAGAAUAUAAUGGAUUACAAUAAAAUUAUUUAAACUAAUUUUAAUUUGUAAAAUUUAAUUGAAGGUGGAUUUAAAUGUAAUUUUAUUUAAUUUAAUAAAAUGAUUGAAAAUUAAAAUAUGC
rnacentral:rRNA from 1 species